rnacentral:rRNA from 1 species
UAAUACAUGCAAGUCGAACGCGCAGCGAAAGGUGCUUGCACCUUUCAAGCGAGUGGCGAACGGGUGAGUAACACGUGGAUAACCUGCCUCAAGGCUGGGGAUAACAUUUGGAAACAGAUGCUAAUACCGAAUAAAACUUAGUAUCGCAUGAUACAAAGUUGAAAGGCGCUACGGCGUCACCUAGAGAUGGGUCCGCGGUGCAUUAGUUAGUUGGUGGGGUAAAGGCCUACCAAGACAAUGAUGCAUAGCCGAGUUGAGAGACUGAUCGGCCACAUUGGGACUGAGACACGGCCCAAACUCCUACGGGAGGCUGCAGUAGGGAAUCUUCCACAAUGGGCGAAAGCCUGAUGGAGCAACGCCGCGUGUGUGAUGAAGGCUUUAGGGUCGUAAAGCACUGUUGUAUGGGAAGAAAUGCUAGAAUAGGGAAUGAUUCUAGUUCGACGGUACCAUACCAGAAAGGGACGGCUAAAUACGUGCCAGCAGCCGCGGUAAUACGUAUGUCCCGAGCGUUAUCCGGAUUUAUUGGGCGUAAAGCGAGCGCAGACGGUUGAUUAAGUCUGAUGUGAAAGCCCGGAGCUCAACUCCGGAAUGGCAUUGGAAACUGGUUAACUUGAGUGUUGUAGAGGUAAGUGGAACUCCAUGUGUAGCGGUGGAAUGCGUAGAUAUAUGGAAGAACACCAGUGGCGAAGGCGGCUUACUGGACAACAACUGACGUUGAGGCUC